UCCAGAAUCUUCGGUUCCCGGCUGGCCACCGAGUACCCAAAUAUCCCCAUAAUCCAAUUUUCGGACGCCAACCACGCAAGAGAGUAAAGUGGUUUUUCCGCAUCCACUAGCUCCCAGUAAGCUAUAUCUGUGUAAAGUAAUCCUUUGGGAACAGUAAGAUUCACGCCAUUCAAGAUGUAUACUCCACCACCAUAUGUUUUCUUCGCAUUCUUGACGAUGACUGCAUUUUGCCCUGCCAUUUUGCAAGGCACCGAUUUCAACUAAAAAUUGCAACCUAUAACAUUAAUUAUAAGUACAGAUAUAUUCACGAAUUACAUAUCAAGAGGAAUAUUUGAGAAAUAAUGUAUAUGUAUAUCUGUAUACAAACAAUUAUUAAUUUGGUAAUUAUUUACAAGUGAUUAUGAACAACUCUUCAUAAAAAAUAUUAUUAAACUGUACAAAUCAACAGUAAAUUAAUAACUAGUAACACUUAUUACCUUUUUAUACAUAGUAUGUCAAAUUACUUAAUAAAUUCUUAUAGUAUAUUAAAUUACUAAUAUGUCUAUUAAAAUGACUUGAAAUCUUCGAGACACAAAAUUUAUGUGAGAUGUAUCGAAUAUGUACCUCGUUUAUCUUUUUGCUUUUUAUUACUUUAGACAUUUAUGUUUACAGUAAAAGGAAUUAUCAUAAUUCUCCUAUCAAUUCCAGAAAUUCGAAAGAAUAAAUUGUUAUAUUUAGACACAGUGA